GACGUAGGGGGCCAGCGUUGUUCGGAAUUACUGGGUGUAAAGGGUUCGUAGGCGGUGUAGCAAGUCGGGAGUGAAAUCUCUGGGCUUAACCCAGAGGCUGCUUCCGAAACUGCUGUGCUUGAGUGUGGGAGAGGCGCGUGGAAUUGCAGGUGUAGCGGUGAAAUGCGUAGAUAUCUGGAGGAACACCGGUGGCGAAGGCGGCAUCCUGGACCGGCAUUGACGCUGAGGCGCGAAAGCUAGGGGAGCAAACGGG
rnacentral:rRNA from 1 species